rnacentral:lncRNA from 1 species
AUGGUGGCAGGGCGGGGUUGGCAGAAAUGCCCAUCCCACAGCCCCAGCCAGGAGCAGGGCAGGCCCGGAGGCACUGCCUGCAGAAUAGGCCCAGGCCCAGGCCAGGCUGGGACACCAGCAUGGAAAGGCUCAGCAGUGCCCAUGGUGUGGCAGGGCAGUGGAGUGCUGGAGUAUGGCCCUGCUGCAGCAUUGCUGGAGCUGGAUUUCUGAUGGAAACUUCUCCUUACCUAAACUAGGUAGUCCUGUAUGGGGACUUGAUGGUUGGGACGUCGAGUUGGACUCAAUGACGCCUGUGGAUCCCUUCCAACGAGGCAUAUUAUCUGGUUGUGGUGUAAAUGCCUGAAGUAACUAGGAAAAUAGAACUAACAUUCACAUUUUUAAGGAAAAGGUACAGCAUUGAAGAGGCUUUCAGGGUAGGGCAUAACUGCAUUAUCUGAGCGUUCGCUAGGCUCCCAACCUUAGAUGCUAUCGCGCUGGGGAAACUUGGUGUGCUAGCUUUAAGGAACACCACGGAGCGUGGAGUGGAGUGGAGACACCACGGCUAGGCUCUGUAAUCAGGUGCGGCCUCGAUUGUUCUUGUGCACAAAGCUGCACUUUUUGCCACCCUAAGCCAAAGACCUGUCAUGUUUUGACAAAUGCUGUACCCUAGUGUACUUUUUGCUCAUUAUAAUAUCAUUAUAAUACCAAAACACACCUCCAUCCCAAAAGCUACCCGCCUCCAAGGUGCGACCACCCCUCACUGAGCAUGCGCCCUGAAUUUCUCGGAGCCUAUUACUUUAAACGGAGACGGGAAAACUUUACACCAAUCAUAACUAAGAUAUGCUUGACUAGAGCCACUCAAGCUCCACCUAAAAGAUAGAAAAUAAUAUAAAUUGGUCCAAGAGAGAGGGGACGUUAGGGAAGAUACCAUCGUCAGGGGAGAUACCAUCCCGAGGACAUACAACAUCCUUAGGACCUCCUGACUCCUGGGAUCAGUCAACGGGCUGAGCCUCUCUUCCCCCCCCCAUUGGGACGCCUUUGGGUGAGAUCUGAAUAUUUGCUUAUAAAUCUCUAUAGAGUCUUUGAUCCUUUUAACGCGUUUAUUUCUAGGCUGCGCAUCUGUGACACCUGUAACACCUGUGACACCUGUAACAUCUGUAACACCUAUAACAUCUGUAACACUUAUCUAUAACAUCUGUAACACCUACAACACCUAUAACACCUGUAUAACAUCUGUAACGCCUAUAACACCUGUGUAUUUCAUGCAUACUAGCUUGCUUUUGCAGAUAGUCACUAUCACCGGCAAUCCAAAAGAACCUGAUUACCUGUUGCUGUAAUAAACCAUACUUGAUUGCAUUGUGAUAGCUCUCA